CAGUCGCCGCGGGAACACGAAGGGGGCUAGCGUUGCUCGGAAUGACUGGGCGUAAAGGGCGCGUAGGCGGCGAUCAAAGUCAGGCGUGAAAUUCCUGGGCUCAACCUGGGGGCUGCGUUUGAUACUUGGUUGCUAGAGUGAGGAAGAGGGUCGUGGAAUUCCCAGUGUAGAGGUGAAAUUCGUAGAUAUUGGGAAGAACACCGGUGGCGAAGGCGGCGACCUGGUCCUUGACUGACGCUGAGGCGCGAAAGCGUGGGGAGCAAACAGGAUUAGAUACCCGCGUAGUCCCUGUCUCUUAUAC
rnacentral:rRNA from 1 species